CCUCUCACAUCUUAUCUUGUUUGUAAUAUAUUCUCCUUAAACUGUUUAACACAAUGAGCAUGUAGAUGUAGUUGGUUCAUCAACGUAAACAUCAAAAGUAUUCCUCUUAUGCAGUCUGCUUCCCUGACAUGCAGGGCACACUAAGGUGGUGGGAAGAUACAUACAACCGUUAACCUGACGGCUAAGCGAUCAGAUGCGGCGAUUGUGUGAGUGUGUCAGGUACAUCGAAUUCACUGAUCCCAAACUAUUGGAUGUUACUAGGAUCUCCUCUUCUCUGUAAUACUUAUGGCCUUCUCCUCUACCUAUUGGGGCAACAAUUUGGAUAUCCAGGAACCAUGGUGACAAAUACGUGCAUACUGGAACUGUUCCAAGUUUCCAUUUUCUCAGUAAACAAGUGAACUAAGAAAGUGAAUCCUAUUUAAUAAAUGUAGGCAUAUACUAAUACGGUGGCACAACUUAGUCUGCAUGAAUGUUCUGGUCUUCUAAAUUUUUAGUAUAAUGUUGAGUACUUUAGUUGGAGUCCAUGCUAGUUUAGCUAGCCAAGUUGAGUCUAAUUAGGCUAGGUUGAUUAGUUAGUUUUCCACCAUUGCAAGUCGUAAGCAUGUGUGCUCAUGGAUGGGUCAUAGUCUGUAGAUGAUUCAAUGAUUUUGCAUAGGUAGCAGCGUACGUGAUGUACUAGUAUGCCUUGGAGUUGGUGUGCCUUACUAGUCUAGGAAAAGGGCGCUCGAGUCCAAGUCGUUUUAGAUGCUAAGUCAGAGUAGGUUUAGGUUGUUCCGGCCAUGUAGCAGGUCAUAGUUGUGGAAGCAGGUCGUAUAAGAGUUUUUCCAUAGAAAACAAGGUCAUGUAAGAGCUUUCAGACAAGAAUAAAGAGUAUGCUAAAGUUUCCUUCAUGUGCUUGUGUUUGGCUAUUUUGAUGUGAUAUAUUCUGUGGACAAAACAGAACAUAGAUUACUAAUCCAUAUGCCAAAUCAGCAGGUUACAGAAACUUGAUUGUUCCAAGACAAUGUUGUUGGCACUAAAACCUAAAAGACUACUGGUGCCAAGCUGGAUUUGCUAGGAGGUAUUUUCUAAUAUUACUUCUAUAUUGCCUGAAUGAUUCUUCACCAAUUCAAAUGGAAAUUUUGGAUUAUUAAUAGCAUUACUUGAAUAUAUUUUUAUUAUCACACAUGCUUCUGUUCUUUUACCUAAUUUGUACAAGAGAACACUUUUCUUCCAUGUUACAAUGGUCAUACACUCAUACUGCGUCUCUGAGAUAAGACUCUUUGCCGCUAAAAAGGGCAACCUGGUGCAUGUAGCUCCCGCUUGCGCAGGGUCCAGGGAAGGGUCCGACCACUUUGGGUCUAUAGUACGCAGCCUUUCCCUACAUUUCUGUAAGAGGCUGUUUCCAGGACUUGAACCCAUGACCUCAUGGUCACAAGGCAGCAGCUUUACCACUGCGCCAAGGCUCCCCUUCACUCUUUGUCGCUAGAUUAGGUAAAAUAAUUCAUCAACUCCUGUAUGCCUUCCUUACAUUCCCUCACUUCCUAUAUAACACUCUGUUUCUAUAAACAUGGUGAAACUUGAUAAUGGAAUGAGCUGAGUUACUUUACUGUAAACUAAAAUGACUACGUUCGGCUACAAAAGUAAUACUUGACAAGUUCAAACAAGAGCGCUGCUCUUACUACAACCCAACGUAUCAACCAAGAAUAUAAAGGUAAAAUUGACGGUGUUAAACUUGGUAAUGAAUUCCUUAUAUUCCGAAUUGAUCUUACAUUAGCAAAAUCUGGUAAGUUUAUACAACUAAUAAAAAGUCAAAAUUACUGGCGAUAUAGCUAGAUUAAUUAUCACAUGGCCUUCAACCUUUCUAUGUUGCUCCUCUUUUUCAAUUUUACUGCCCUAUUAACCUAUCUCAUUUCUUUGUGUAGAUUGCAAGAUAAAUCGGUGAUGCAUGGUCAGAUGUUGAUUGCAAGGUCAAGAACAUGGGUGCUACUAGAUAGUUUCACAUUGUGUUUCAGAAUGUCAUUUUCAUUGUCGAUGUGUCAAUCAUUAUGAUUCAGGCAUUUUCAGUGUCAAUGUUUAGAUCAUUAUGUUUCAAAAUGGCUGAGACGUUGGUUGCAAGAUCAAGAAUAGGACCAGUACUAGUUUCACAUCUUGUAAUCUUUGUAUCCAGAUCCUUGUAAUGCAACCAAGUUGAUUUAAUAUAUGAGACAGUUCUGUUUGUUAUACUGCGUCCUCUAUGCAAUAUUGGCAUUGACCUAAUAAUUCUUGAUCGGAAUUGACCUAAUAAUUCUGGAUGGUC
rnacentral:lncRNA from 1 species